GGCCUCAUAGUCUAGUGGCAAAACAGUUCGUUUACACCGAACGGUCCGCAGUUCGAUUCUGCGUGGGGCCA
rnacentral:tRNA from 1 species